rnacentral:rRNA from 1 species
GACGUAGGGCGCGAGCGUUGUCCGGAUUUAUUGGGCGUAAAGAGCUCGUAGGCGGCUUGUUGCGUCGUUCGUGAAAUCCCGUGGCUCAACUGCGGGCUUGCGGACGAUACGGGCAGGCUAGAGUCUGGUAGGGGGAUCUGGAAUUCCUGGUGUAGCGGUGGAAUGCGCAGAUAUCAGGAGGAACACCGGUGGCGAAGGCGGGAUCCUGGGCCAGUACUGACGCUGAGGAGCGAAAGCGUGGGGAGCAAACAGG